AGAUCAAUGAUGACACCAAAAUUUGUCCUGAAGAGAGAUGAUGACAUAAAAAUCUUCCUCAAUAGGAUUAUUCUGAGGCCC
ensembl:snoRNA SNORD115 Small nucleolar RNA SNORD115